ACGGCGAGUGAGCGGCACGGCUCAAAUUUGAAAUCUGGCGAAAGCCCGAGUUGUAGUUUGCAGAGGAUGCUUCGGCGCGCAGUCGCGGCUCAAGUGCCCUGGAAGGGGACGCCGCGGAGGGUGAUAGCCCCGUCACGGGCCGUCGACUCGCCGCCGUGUGAAGCUCCCUCGACGAGUCGAGUUGUUUGGGAAUGCAGCUCCAAAGCGGGAGGUAAAUUCCUUCCAAAGCUAAAUACCGGCCAAGGACCGAUAGCGCACAAGUAGAGUGAUCGAAAGAUGAAAAGCACUUUGGAAAGAGAGUCAAACAGUACGUGAAAUUGUUGAGAGGGAAGCGUUUGCGAUCAGACGCGCGGGGGGUCGGCUCACCCCGGCCUGCGUGGUCGGGGGCAUUCCCUCCCCCCGCGAGCCAGCAUCGGCUCGGGCGGCGGCAGGAACCGGAAGGGAACGUGACUCCCCCGUGGAGUGUUACAGCCCGCCCGGCUUCGACCGCCCGCCCGGGCCGAGGAUUGCGGGUCCUUCUGGGCCCUAGGAUGCCGGCGUAAUGGUCGUAAGCGGCCCGUCUUGAAACACGGACCAAGGAGUCCAACGUCCGCGCGAGUGUGUGGGUGUCAAGCCCGCGCGCGAAAUGAAGGUGAACGAAGGUGGGAAGCCGUUCGCGGCUGCACCAUCGACCGAUCCUGAUGUCCUCGGAUGGAUUUGAGUGGGAGCGCGGCCGCUGGGACCCGAAAGAUGGUGAACUAUGCCUGCUUAGGCUGAAGUCAGGGGAAACCCUGAUGGAAGGUCGCAGCGGUUCUGACGUGCAAAUCGAUCGUCAAAAGUGGGUAUAGGGGCGAAAGACUAAUCGAACCAUCUAGUAGCUGGUUCACACCGAAGUUUCCCUCAGGAUAGCAGCGGCGAUAUCAGUUUUAUGAGGUAAAGCGAAUGAUUGGAGGCAUUGGGGUUGAAACAACCUUAACCUACUCUCAAACUCUGAAUGUGUAAGAGGCCCCCGUUACUUAAGUGAACCCGGGCAUUCGAAUGCAGCGCCGUUAGUGGGCCAUUUUUGGUAAGCAGAACUGGCGAUGCGGGAUGAACCGAACGCGGGGUUAAGGUGCCGGAGUACACGCUCAUCAGACACCACAAAAGGUGUUGGUUCAUCUGGACAGCAGGACGGUGGCCAUGGAAGUCGGAAUCCGCUAAGGAGUGUGUAACAACUCACCUGCCGAAUGAACCAGCCCUGAAAAUGGAUGGCGCUCAAGCGUGUCACCGAUACCCCGCCGUCAGGGCGGCACGGAUGUCCUGACGAGUAGGUGUGCGUGGG
rnacentral:rRNA from 1 species